rnacentral:rRNA from 1 species
UACAGAGGUCCCAAGCGUUGUCCGGAUUUAUUGGGCGUAAAGAGCUCGUAGGCGGUUCGAUAAGUCGGACGUGAAAUCUCCACGCUCAACGUGGAGGGGCCGUUCGAUACUGUCGGGCUCGAGUCCGGAAGAGGCGAGUGGAAUUCCUGGUGUAGCGGUGAAAUGCGCAGAUAUCAGGAGGAACACCGAUGGCGAAGGCAGCUCGCUGGGACGGUACUGACGCUGAGACGCGAAAGCGUGGGGAGCAAACAGG